rnacentral:lncRNA from 1 species
GUUCUGUGAGUGUGUGUUCUUCAUCAUGAUUAGCGCAUAACAUGACUUGUUUUUUUUCUCAGAUUACACCUCUCUACGUCAAGUAGGGUUAACCAUCGCUGCGGUUCUCUUUGUGAUGGGAAUCAUGGUGCUUGGUUGUGGCAAAGUGAAACGAAUACCACGGUGUCAUAUUGGCAAAGGAAGCUCAUACAGGGUGACCAGAAGUUAGCACUUCUCUCAGCAUUGAUCAGCUGGCUCGGCAAUAAACAGAGGAACAGCAGGAAAACACAAAGGAGCCAGUCAGACCUGUUUCCACAGCGGUUACAGACUUACAUUUCCCCCUUGUGAGAACAACAUCAUAAGGACAAGAUGGAGAGGUCGUGUGUGUGAGCGUGUUCUUUAUUUCAAACUGAUCUCCGGGUUUGUCACACAGAGGAGCCGGGGAAUAAGAUGUGUGCUAUCGUGCGGCACUAAACGCCAGCGGUAACACAACGGCUGGGACUUCGGCAGAUCCCAGCGUAAUCACGCGUCUCAGACACAAAGUCCCUUCAUCCCUCUGCUCUCCUGCACCAAACUGCUCGGUUUAAGUGUCAAACUUUGUACAACGUAGACCUGUACUUGUGUUUUAUUAUCAUUAUUAUUUCAAUACUGUGCAUCCUCAGAUGUGUCUAUCUUUUGGAAACGGCAAGAAGCGUUGUGUGGCUCACAAGUGCCCUCAAGAGGCCUUCAGACACAUUUAUUAUGAGUUCUCCCAAGAGGAGAGAAUAAAAACGGUUUGGCUCAGUCUGUUUAGAGAUUC